AUGCAUAAAGGGAAAUUUGAGACUCUCCAAGAGCGUUUGAGGAAAGUGCUUGUGGAUUGGAGUGAACAGUACAUGUCGUCGGGGAACAAGGAGAUUCUUAUUAAGUCAGUGGCACAGGCCAUACCAGCAUAUGUAAUGAGUGUCUUCAAACUCCUGGCUUCUGUUUGUGAUGAUCUUACAAGGAUGAUACGUCAGUAUUGGUGGGGGGUAGAGAACGGCAAGAAGAAGAUGGCAUGGAUGAGCUGGGAUAGGCUGCGUCUGCCUAAACCCAUGGGGGGCAUGGGGUUUAGGGAUAUGAGGGCGUUUAACCAAGCGCUACUAGCUAAGCAAGCCUGGAGGCUCCUGGAUAGACCAGAUAGCCUAUGUGCGCGGUUGAUGAAGGCAAAAUACUAUCCUUCUGGUCAGCUUUUGGAUACGGUGUUCCCGGGCUCUGGUUCUGAGGUAUGGAAAGGUAUUCUACAUGGCCUUGCGUUGGUC
rnacentral:rRNA from 1 species